GCAUUAGUUGUUCAGUGGUGGAGUUCUUGCCUUCCAUGCGGGAGACCUGGGUUCAAUUCCCCGACCAAUGCA
rnacentral:tRNA from 1 species